AACGCGUGGGAAUCUGCCCUUGGGUUCGGAAUAACAGUUAGAAAUGACUGCUAAUACCGGAUGAUGACGUUAAGUCCAAAGAUUUAUCGCCCGAGGAUGAGCCCGCGUAGGAUUAGCUAGUUGGUGUGGUAAGAGCGCACCAAGGCGACGAUCCUUAGCUGGUCUGAGAGGAUGAUCAGCCACACUGGGACUGAGACACGGCCCAGACUCCUACGGGAGGCAGCAGUGGGGAAUAUUGGACAAUGGGCGAAAGCCUGAUCCAGCAAUGCCGCGUGAGUGAUGAAGGCCUUAGGGUUGUAAAGCUCUUUUACCCGGGAUGAUAAUGACAGUACCGGGAGAAUAAGCUCCGGCUAACUCCGUGCCAGCAGCCGCGGUAAUACGGAGGGAGCUAGCGUUGUUCGGAAUUACUGGGCGUAAAGCGCACGUAGGCGGCUUUGUAAGUUAGAGGUGAAAGCCUGGAGCUCAACUCCAGAAUUGCCUUUAAGACUGCAUCGCUCGAAUCCAGGAGAGGUGAGUGGAAUUCCGAGUGUAGAGGUGAAAUUCGUAGAUAUUCGGAAGAACACCAGUG
rnacentral:rRNA from 1 species